rnacentral:rRNA from 1 species
UACGUAGUGUGCAAGCGUUGUCCGGAAUUAUUGGGCGUAAAGAGCUCGUAGGCGGUUUGUUGCGUCGGCUGUGAAAUCCCGAGGCUCAACCUCGGGUCUGCAGUCGAUACGAGCAAACUAGAGUGUUGCAGGGGAGACUGGAAUUCCUGGUGUAGCGGUGAAAUGCGCAGAUAUCAGGAGGAACACCGGUGGCGAAGGCGGGUCUCUGGGCAACAACUGACGCUGAGGAGCGAAAGCGUGGGGAGCGAACAGG